GACAGAGGGUGCAAACGUUGUUCGGAAUUACUGGGCGUAAAGCGCGUGUAGGCGGCUAUGUAAGUCGGGCGUGAAAUCCCACGGCUCAACUGUGGAAGAGCACUCGAAACUGCGUAGCUAGAGUCCUGGAGAGGAAGGUGGAAUACUUGGUGUAGAGGUGAAAUUCGUAGAUAUCAAGUGGAACACCAGUGGCGAAGGCGGCCUUCUGGACAGUGACUGACGCUGAGACGCGAAAGCGUGGGGAGCAAACAGG
rnacentral:rRNA from 1 species